ensembl:lncRNA
CGAUGAGAAAACGCGUGAUAUUUGCUUAAAUGGGGGAUUUCCGAAGAGAAAACGCAUGAUAUUCGCUUAAAUGGGGGAUUUCUGAUGAGAAAACGCGUGAUAUUUGCUUAAAUGGGGGGUUUCUGAAGAGGAAACACGACAUUUUCGCUAAAAUGGGGGAUUUCUGAUGAGAAAACGCGUGAUAUUUGCUUAAAUGGGGGAUUUCCAAAGAGAAAAUUCAUGAUUUUUGCUUAAAUGGGUAUUUCCAAAGAGAAAAUUCAUGAUUUUCGCUUAAAUGUGGGAUUCUCGGAGAUAAAUCACGUGAUAUCCGAUUAAAAGGGGGAUUUCCGAAAAGAAAACUUGUGAUUUUUGCUUAAAUGGGAGAUUUCCGAUGAGAAAACGCGUGAUAUUUGCUUAAAUGGGGGAUUUCCGAAGAGAAAACGCAUGAUAUUCGCUUAAAUGGGGGGUUUCUAAAGAGGAACCAUGACAUUUUUGCUAAAAUGGAAGAUUUCCGAAGAGAAAACGCGUGAUAUUUGCUUAAAUGUGGGAUUCUCAGAGAUAAAACAGUUGAUAUUCGAUGAAAUGGGGGAUUUCCGAGAAGAAAACGCGUGAUUUUUGCUUAAAUGUGGGAUUUUUGAAAAGAAAACGCGUGAUUUUCGCUUAAAAGGGGGGAUUUCCGUGAAGAAAACACGUGAUUUUUGCUUAAAUGGCAGAUUUCUGAAGAGAAAACGCAUGAUUUUCACUUAAAUGGGGGAUUUCCGAAGAGAAAACACAUGAUUAUCUCUUAAAUGGGGGAUUUUCAAAGAUAAAAUGCAUGAUUUUCACUUAAAUGGGGGAUUCUCGAAGAGAAAACGAGUAAUUUUUGCUUACAUGGGGGAUUAACGAAGAGAAACCAGGUGAUUUUUGCUUAAAUGGGGGAUUUCUGAUGAGAAAACUCGUGAUUUUCACUUAAAUGGGGGAUUUCCGAAGAGAAAACACAGGAUUAUCGCUUAAAUGGGGGAUUUUCAAAGAUAAAUGCAUGAUUUUCGCUUUAAUGCGGGAUUUGCGGUGAUAAAACGCUUAAUUUUUGCUUAAAUGGGGGAUUUCUGAUGAGAAACUGUGCGAUUUUUGCUUAAAUGGGGGAUUUCCGAAGAGGAAACGUGUGAUAUUUGCUUAAAGGUGGGAUUCUUGGAGAUAAAUCACGUGAUAUCCGAUUAAAAGUUGGAUUUCGGAAAAGAAAACUCGUGAUUUUUGCUUAAAUGGAGGAUUUCUGAUGAGAAAACGCGUGAUAUUUGCUUAAAUGGGGGGUUUCUGAAGAGGAAACACGACAUUGUCGCUAAAAUGGGGGAUUUCCGAAGAUAAAACGCGUGAUAUUUGCUUAAAUGGGGGAUUUCCAAAGAGAAAAUUCAUGAUUUUUGCUUAAAUGGGGGAUUUCCAAAGGGAAAACGCAUGAUAUUUGCUUAAAUGUGGGAUUCUCGGAGAUAAAUCACGUGAUAUCCGAUUAGAAGGGGGAUUUCCGAAAAGAAAACUCGUGAUUUUUGCUAAAAUGGGGGAUUUCCGAAGAGAAAACGCGUGAUUUUCGCUUAAAUGGGGGAUUCUCAAUUAAAAACCCGUGAUAUUCGCUUAAAUGGGUGAUUUCCGAGGAGAGAAUUCAUGAUUUUCGCUUAAAUGGGGG